rnacentral:rRNA from 1 species
UCUCACCGGGGCGACAGCAAUAUGAAGGUCAGGCUGAAGACCUUACCCGAUUAGCUGAGAGGUGGUGCAUGGCCGUCGUCAGUUCGUACUGUGAAGCAUCCUGUUAAGUCAGGCAACGAGCGAGACCCACGUCCACAGUUGCCAGCAUACCCUCCGGGGUGAUGGGUACACUGUGGAGACCGCCGCUGCUAAAGCGGAGGAAGGAGUGGGCAACGGUAGGUCAGUAUGCCCCGAAUCUCCCGGGCUACACGCGGGCUACAAUGGUUGGUACAAUGGGCAUCUACCCCGAAAGGGGAAGGAAAUCUCUUAAAGCCAAUCGUAGUUCGGAUUGAGGGCUGCAACUCGCCCUCAUGAAGCUGGAAUCCGUAGUAAUCGCGUUUCAACAGAACGCGGUGAAUACGUCCCUGCUCCUU